AACGAACGCUGGCGGCAUGCCUAACACAUGCAAGUCGAACGAGACCUUCGGGUCUAGUGGCGCACGGGUGCGUCACGCGUGGGAACCUUCCCUUAGGUUCGGAAUAACUCCCCGAAAGGGGUGCUAAUACCGGAUAAUGUCUUCGGACCAAAGAUUUAUCGCCUUUGGAUGGGCCCGCGUUGGAUUAGCUAGUUGGUAGGGUAAAAGCCUACCAAGGCGACGAUCCAUAGCUGGUCUGAGAGGAUGAUCAGCCACACUGGGACUGAGACGCGGCCCAGACUCCUACGGGAGGCAGCAGUGGGGAAUAGUGGACAGUGGGCGAAAGCAUGAACCAGCAAUGCCGCGUGAGUGAUGAAGGCCUUAGGGUUGUAAAGCUCUUUUACCCGGGAUGAUAAUGACAGUACCGGGAGAAUAAGCUCCGGCUAACUCCGUG
rnacentral:rRNA from 1 species